AGAGUUUGAUCAUGGCUCAGGAUGAACGCUAGCUACAGGCUUAACACAUGCAAGUCGAGGGGCAGCAUGUUGGUUGCUUGCAACCAAUGAUGGCGACCGGCGCACGGGUGAGUAACGCGUAUCCAACCUACCCUUGUCCAUCGGAUAACCCGUCGAAAGGCGGCCUAACACGAUAUGCGGUUCUCAGCAGGCAUCUAACGAGAACGAAAUGUGAAGGAGAAGGAUGGGGAUGCGUCUGAUUAGCUUGUUGGCGGGUAACGGCCACCAAGGCGAUGAUCAGUAGGGGUUCUGGACGAGGAAGGUCCCCCACAUUGGAACUGAGACACGGUCCAAACUCCUACGGGAGGCA
rnacentral:rRNA from 1 species